GUGGUAAUGCCGGAUGCUCCGACUCCUCGCAUGGGGUGUCGGGAANGAUUUCAUCGGUAUGGGAUGGGGUCGCGUCCUAUCAGGUAGUCGGCGGGGUAACGGCCCACCGAGCCUACGACGGGUAGCCGGCCUGAGAGGGCGACCGGCCACAUUGGGACUGAGAUACGGCCCAGACUCCUACGGGAGGCAGCAGUGGGGAAUAUUGCACAAUGGGCGCAAGCCUGAUGCAGCGACGCCGCGUGCGGGAUGACGGCCUUCGGGUUGUAAACCGCUUUUGAUCGGGAGCAAGCCUUCGGGUGAGUGUACCUUUCGAAUAAGCACCGGCUAACUACGUGCCAGCAGCCGCGGUAAUACGUAGGGUGCAAGCGUUAUCCGGAAUUAUUGGGCGUAAAGGGCUCGUAGGCGGUUCGUCGCGUCCGGUGUGAAAGUCCAUCGCUUAACGGUGGAUCUGCGCCGGGUACGGGCGGGCUGGAGUGCGGUAGGGGAGACUGGAAUUCCCGGUGUAACGGUGGAAUGUGUAGAUAUC
rnacentral:rRNA from 1 species